CUAGAAAAACUAUUGAAAAAAACUGCUACAUUAAUAUAAAAGAUCACUUCAAAUGCAAAGUAGCACUUUUUAAAGGCUCAGUCUGUGAAGGGCUCCUAGUUAUCUUUGCUGUUGAUACAGGAAGAGUAGGUGGUCCUUACAUUCAAACUGGGGUUGGCAUGCCAACAAGAUUUUCACCUCACGAUUACCAUGGGUCAAAAAAUAUACUAAAACAAUACUAUUGCAUGGUUACAACCUAGAAAAACUAUUGAAAAAAAAAAACUACUACAUUAAUAUAAAAGAUCACUUCAACCGCAAAUUGAAACUUUUUAAGGGCUCGGUCUGUGAAGGGCUCCUAGUUAUCUUUGCUGUUGAUAUAGGAAGAGUAGGUGGUCUUUACAUUAAAAAUUGGGUUGUCUCUCUAACCAGAUUUUCGCCUUAUCAUCACUAUGUCGUCGUUGUUUUCUUCCGCUUCAUCCGGGUCCGGGUCGCGGAGGCAGCAGCAUCAGGAGGGAAGCCCAGACAGCCCUCACCCCAGCCACUUCUCCCAGCUCCUCCAGGGGG